rnacentral:lncRNA from 1 species
AUUUAGUUGAAUAGGAACUCAGGUCAAGCGCCUUAGCCACUUGAUUCAAUGAUUUCGACCUCGCUCGAACUAUUAUGCCAUCAAAAUGACUCAGGUCAAGCGCCUUCGCCACUUGAUUCAAUAGGUUCGACCUCGCUCGAACUACAAGGCCAAGAGCCUUCGCCACUUGAUUCAAUGAUUUCGACCUCGCUCGAACUAUUAUGCCAUCAAAAUUUAGCACGUUAAAUUUCAGUUGAACUGAGAUUCAGGCUAAACGUCUUCGACAUUAAAGUCAACGAGU